GAGAAACAUAUUCGAGGAUUUUAUUUUAAAAAGGAAAACAUUUUUUAUGCUCUGCACAAAUGCAGAAAUGAAUCCAUCAUGAGAUUUCACCUAACUUAUUAACGAAGAAGCCGAUAAGAAAUUGAAACCUGUAAGGUACAAUACCACAAACGCCCAUCAGUCACUGCAUGGAAGUCAGUUGAGUACGUCAGCAAUAAUUACUUCUCAAGGCUAUCAUCCGUCUGGAGCUUCGAAAGCGGUAAAGUAACUCCCGCGGACUUGGCCUCAGCCAGAGAGGGUGUGUUCUCCUAGCACUGCCGAAUUUUUUCCUCCACCUAACAGUUAUCACUCAAGCUCUAGACAUUGAGUAAGCAGACCGUCUUAGGUGGACAUAUCCCGAACCUCUUGAAAUGAAACUUCACCAUUUCAUUUCAAUUUCUGUGCCGACGGAAUGUGUUUGGCUCACUGACGAUGGGAAGGAAGUGGCUUCAUGGGUACACACUUCAUAAAUCAAUCUGAAACACCAGUUGCACGCCUCGCCUCUAUUUUCUCAUCUGCCUCAAGAGACGGCCUUGAACUAGACAUAUCAGACAGACAGACAGACAGACAGAGACACACAGAGAGACAAAGACACAGAGGCAGAGAGAGACUGUGGGGUCAGCAGUCCAGCCUUCUGGGGAUGAAGGGGGCGCUAAUUAUUGGGCUUAGCUGUCAAGGUUGCGGCUAGAUUUAAUCAGACAAAGAUUGUGAAACCGCUUUGGAACUAGUGGCUCUCAAGUUCAUGGCUAAGGAAAAUAACAGGCCUCUGGGCCUCGGAAGCAGCCGCUGAGUUUGCCCGCGCGCUCAGUGCGGCUCCUCCCCCGGCCCCUCCGGGAGGCGGAGGCCGUGCACGCCGGCCCUCCCCAGCCCGCGGCCCGCCUAGGUGAAUGUAGUCUUGCAGGGGGUGCCCGGGCGCUCAGUUCCCGAUUCUGCCGGGGGCGCGGGCAGCUCAGGCUCCUCAGGCUGCUAAGGAUGGGCGAGCUGAGCGGAUGCACCGGCGGGAGCCGAGCUGGAGGUCCGGGGCCGCGGCUGCCACUGUUGCUGCUGCUGCUGCUGUGGCCCGCCCGGGCCUCCGACGCCGCCCCGCCGCCCCAUGUGGUCUUCGUGCUGGCGGACGACCUGGGCUGGAACGACUUGGGUUUCCACGGCUCGGUCAUCCGCACGCCGCACCUGGAUGCGCUGGCGGCCGGCGGCGUGGUCCUGGACAACUACUACGUGCAGCCGCUGUGCACGCCCUCGCGGAGCCAGCUGCUCACCGGCCGCUAUCAGAUCCAUAUGGGCUUACAGCAUUACCUCAUCAUGACCUGUCAGCCCAACUGUGUUCCGCUAGACGAAAAACUCCUGCCCCAGCUUUUAAAGGACGCAGGCUAUGCUACGCAUAUGGUCGGAAAAUGGCACCUGGGAAUGUACCGGAAGGAAUGCCUGCCAACCCGCAGAGGAUUCGAUACGUACUUCGGAUACCUCCUAGGCAGUGAAGACUACUACACCCACGAGGCCUGUGCACCGAUUGAGUGUCUGAACGGUACCCGCUGUGCGCUUGAUCUCCGAGAUGGCGAAGAACCUGCAAAAGAGUAUACAGAUAUUUACUCAACAAACAUAUUUACCAAAAGGGCUACAACCCUCAUAGCUAACCACCCCCCCGAGAAACCACUGUUCCUCUACCUUGCUUUCCAGUCUGUCCACGAUCCCCUGCAGGUCCCCGAGGAGUACAUGGAGCCAUAUGACUUCAUCCAAGACAAGCACAGACGUAUUUAUGCAGGGAUGGUAUCCCUCCUGGACGAAGCAGUGGGGAAUGUCACCAAAGCCUUGAAAAGCCGAGGGCUCUGGAACAACACGGUCCUCAUCUUCUCCACAGACAACGGCGGGCAGACUAGGUCUGGAGGCAACAACUGGCCACUUCGAGGAAGGAAAGGGACCCUGUGGGAAGGUGGCAUCCGAGGAGCAGGUUUCGUGGCAAGCCCCUUGCUGAAACAGAAAGGCGUGAAGAGCCGGGAGCUCAUGCACAUCACCGAUUGGCUUCCAACGCUGGUGAAUCUGGCUGGGGGAAGCACCCAUGGAACCAAACCUCUGGAUGGCUUCGACGUGUGGGAAACAAUCAGGUCCUGGCAAGAACACGACUCCAGAAAAGAACGAUUCUUUUCCUUUAGAACAUUCUGCCUUUAACACAUCUAUCCAUGCUGGGAUCAGAUACAAAAACUGGAAACUCCUCACGGGCUACCCAGGCUGUGGUUACUGGUUCCCGCCACCG